rnacentral:rRNA from 1 species
GGGCCAGACUCCUACGGGAGGCAGCAGUGAGGAAUAUUGGUCAAUGGGAGAGAUCCUGAACCAGCCAAGCCGCGUGAGGGAUGACGGCCCUACGGGUUGUAAACCUCUUUUGCCGGGGAGCAAAGAGCGGGACGCGUCCCGCCUCGAGAGUACCCGGAGAAAAAGCAUCGGCUAACUCCGUGCCAGCAGCCGCGGUAAUACGGAGGAUGCGAGCGUUAUCCGGAUUUAUUGGGUUUAAAGGGUGCGCAGGCGGAAUGUCAAGUCAGCGGUAAAAUUUCGGGGCUCAACCCCGUCGUGCCGUUGAAACUGGCGUUCUUGAGUGAGCGAGAAGUAUGCGGAAUGCGUGGUGUAGCGGUGAAAUGCAUAGAUAUCACGCAGAACUCCGAUUGCGAAGGCAGCAUACCGGCGCUCAGCUGACGCUCAUGCACGAAAGCGUGGGUAUCGAACAGGAUUAGAUACCCUUGUA